rnacentral:lncRNA from 1 species
UUGUAUAUAUACUUCGUUCAAAACCAAGCCACAAAGAAACCACCAAAAGUCGCAAAAUCAUCAGGAUUUUUCUUUUAGAAGUUCUUGGCUAAAGUAGAUUGCUCAAUGUAGCCCUGUGGUAGAUACAGGCAAGAAUCACUAAAACAAGGAUAGCUGAAGGAAAAAUAUGCCUAUAUGUUGAAUAAAAACCCUGUAAUAAUUUGAAUUAACUCCUUUUCUUUCUCUCAUUUCUAAACAAUAAGAUAGCUCCAACAACAAAAUCUGCCAUGGAGUUAUCCAGACCCUCAAGAGAACUAGUAAGUAUAUUCCUUCUACCUCAGACCAAAUGCAACACCAACACUACAAGUAUAGAAACCAUCAAGAAGAGUCCAGUACUGCUCCUCACACCACCACUGUUAGGGCGGCUGGUUACCACGGUAAUAGGCGGUGACUCCGCCUCGACCGUGGAUGGCGGUUCUACAUAGGGUGGAGGAGGUGGUUGGUUGAGGUUCGGAGGAAGUCCUAUACCAUGUCCCACUUUGAUCUCAAAUGCCAUCCCAUUCAGGCAUUGGUUGCCAUCAUCAGCAUCGGAGAAGUAGUAUUGUGGUCCCUCGAUGGUCAAUGGAACAGCGACUGUCAUUGCUUCCCCAAACUCAUUGCUGCCUCCUUGAUACUGAAAUGUAUCAUCAUCUGAAGCAUCAUCCAUGCUGCAAUUCCUAUAUGUGGUCUCAUUGUAUGUUUGAAUAACUGUCUGAUUGGUGUUUGUACUAAAUACUAAACACAUACAUGAAAAACAAAUCAGAAUACCGUGAUAUACAAAACCAACAUAUGAUAAGUUAGGAACUUGGUAGUUAUAGCAAAUAGCAAUAAAAAGUUUCAAUGAAAUUCGGAACUCCUCAAAAUGAACACAUACAUGAAAAACAAAUCAGAAUGCCGUGAUAUACAAAACCAACAUAUGAUAAGUUAGCAAUUUGGUAAUUAUUGCAAAUAGCAAUAAAAAGUUCCAAUGAAAUUCGGAGUUCCUCCCAGGUUCACCAGCUGGAAAAAUACAACAGAGAAUGUAGAACAGUUCAUACAAUUGGGAGACUGAUGAAUUAUGAGUGAAACACGAUCACAUGUGCCAUGUUCUGUAUAAU